AGUGGCGGACGGGUGAGUAACGCGUGGGCAACCUGCCCCAUACAGGGGGAUAACAGUUAGAAAUGACUGCUAACACCGCAUAAGCGCACAGGGCCGCAUGGCCCGGUGUGAAAAACUCCGGUGGUAUGGGAUGGGCCCGCGUCUGAUUAGCCAGUUGGCGGGGUAACGGCCCACCAAAGCGACGAUCAGUAGCCGACCUGAGAGGGUGACCGGCCACAUUGGGACUGAGACACGGCCCAAACUCCUACGGGAGGCAGCAGUGGGGAAUAUUGCACAAUGGGGGGAACCCUGAUGCAGCGACGCCGCGUGAGCAAAGAAGUAUCUCGGUAUGUAAAGCUCUAUCAGCAGGGAAGAAAAAUGACGGUACCUGACUAAGAAGCCCCGGCUAACUACGUGCCAGCAGCCGCGGUAAUACGUAUGGUGCAAGCGUUAUCCGGAUUUACUGGGUGUAAAGGGAGCGCAGGCGGUGCGGCAAGUCUGAUGUGAAAGCCCGGGGCUCAACCCCGGGACUGCAUUGGAAACUACCGAACUAGAGUGUCGGAGAGGUAAGUGGAAUUCCUAGUGUAGCGGUGAAAUGCGUAGAUAUUAGGAGGAACACCAGUGGCGAAGGCGGCUUACUGGACNAUAACUGACGCUGAGGCUCGAAAGCGUGGGGAGCAAACAGGAUUAGAUACCCUGGUA
rnacentral:rRNA from 1 species